AUUGAACGCUGGCGGCAGGCCUAACACAUGCAAGUCGAACGAGAGGCGGACGGGUAAGUAAUGUCUGGGAAACUGCCUGAUGGAGGGGGAUAACUACUGGACACGGUAGCUAAUACCGCAUACCAUCAGAUGUGCCCAGAUGGGAUUAGCUUGUUGGUGGGGUAACGGCUCACCAAGGCAACGCUCCCUAGCUGGUCUGAGAGGAUGACCAGCCACACUGGCACGGGGACAAGGUCCAUACUGCGACGGGAGGCAGCAGUGGGGAAUAUUUGACAAUGGGCGGAAGCCUGAUGCAGCCAUGCCGCGUGUAUGAAGAAGGCCUUCGGGUUGUAAAGUACUUUCAGCGGAGAGGCGGUACCCGCAGAAGAAGCACCGGCUAACUCCGUGCCAGCAGCCGCGGUAAUUC
rnacentral:rRNA from 1 species